rnacentral:pre_miRNA from 1 species
AUCACCUGGAGAUCUUGUUUAAAUGCAGGUUCUGAUUCAGUCAGUGUGGACCACAGCCAAGACUCUGCAUUUCUAACAAGCUCCCCAGUGUUGUCAG